rnacentral:rRNA from 1 species
AUACGGAGGGUGCAAGCGUUACUCGGAAUCACUGGGCGUAAAGGACGCGUAGGCGGGUUGGUAAGUCAGAUGUGAAAUCCUACAGCUUAACUGUAGAACUGCAUUUGAAACUACUAACCUAGAGUAUGGGAGGGGGAGAUGGAAUUAGUGGUGUAGGGGUAAAAUCCGUAGAUAUCACUAGGAAUACCGAAAGCGAAGGCGAUCUCCUGGAACAUAACUGACGCUAAGGCGUGAAAGCGUGGGGAGCAAACAGGAUUAGAUACCCUAGUAGUCC